rnacentral:rRNA from 1 species
UGCAAGUCGAGGGGCAGCACGAUGUAGCAAUAUAUUGGUGGCGACCGGCSCACGGGUGCGUAACACGUAUGGAAUCUGCCUUGUACUGGGAGAUAGCCCUCCGAAAGGAGGAUUAAUAUCCCAUAAUAGUCUGAGUGGCAUCACUUGGAUUUGAAAGCUCCGGCGGUACAAGAUGACCAUGCGCACGAUUAGCUAGUAGGUGAGGUAACGGCUCACCUAGGCUACGAUCGUUAGGGGGCCUGAGAGGGUUAUCCCCCACACUGGUACUGAGACACGGACCAGACUCCUACGGGAGGCAGCAGUGAGGAAUAUUGCGCAAUGGAGGCAACUCUGACGCAGCCAUGCCGCGUGCAGGAUGAAGGCGCUACGCGUUGUAAACUGCUUUUAACCGGGAAGAAACCCCAGGACGUGUCCUGGGUUGACGGUACCGGAGGAAUAAGCACCGGCUAACUUCGUGCCAGCAGCCGCGGUAAUACGAAGGGUGCAAGCGUUAUCCGGAUUCAUUGGGUUUAAAGGGUGCGUAGGCGGAGCGUUAAGUCAGUGGUGAAAUCCCGCAGCUCAACUGUGGAAUUGCCAUUGAUACUGGCGCUCUUGAGUGCGGUUGACGUGGGCGGAAUGUGCCGUGUAGCGGUGAAAUGCUUAGAUAUGGCACAGAACACCGAUCGCGAAGGCAGCUCGCGAAGCCGCAACUGACGCUGAGGCACGAAAGCGUGGGGAUCGAACAGGAUUAGAUACCCUGGUAGUCCACGCCGUAAACGAUGAUCACUCGUGAUUGGCGAUACACUGCCAGUCACCUAGCGAAAGCGUUAAGUGAUCCACCUGGGGAGUACGAUCGCAAGAUUGAAACUCAAAGGAAUUGACGGGGGCCCGCACAAGCGGUGGAGCAUGUGGUUUAAUUCGAUGAUACGCGAGGAACCUUACCAGGGCUCGAACGUACGUUGACAGGGCGGAAACGUC